rnacentral:lncRNA from 1 species
AAAGUGCUGGGAUUACAGGCGUGAGCCACCACGCCCGGCCAAGGAUUCUUAAAGAACAUACUAUAAACCAGUAACUCUACCAAGGCUCGUUUUAAUAAGUAAAUAUUACCUUUUAAAUUAAAGGGAAAAGAGAAUACCCAUUCAGAAACCUGUUCCUGUACGUGUGCCCCUCAUUAAAACACCUGUUCCUGUACCUGCGCCCCUCAUUCAAAAACCUGUUCUUGUACGUGAGCCCCCAUUCAAAAACCUGUGCCUAUUCGUGCGCCCCUCAUUCAAAAACCUGUUCCUGUACGUGUGCCCCUCAUUCAGAAACCUGUUCCUGUACUGCCCUCAUUCAAAACCUGUUCCUGU